AAAAAAAAUUAAAACGUAUUUCGACUCUCUCGUCUUCCUCACCUUCGUUAAGUAAUGGCUUCUUCUUCACCUUCCUCAAUCAACUGAGCUUAGUAAUGGCUUCUUCUUCACCUUCCUCAAUCCAUAGAGCCCAAUAAUGGUAAUUUCUAUUAUUAAGAUUGAUUAGCUUGGUGGAUUGGUGGCUUUUAGUGUUUUAGACAGUUUGGCUUGGUGACUUUAAGAUGGUAGGUGUUGAUAAUGAAGUUCUUAUUAUUGAGAAUAAUGAUGAGGCUUCUGAUUAGACUCAAAGGCAUGAAGAAAUUUUCAUUGAACUUAUGGAAGAAGAAGUUUUAAAGGGAAAUAAGACAAAAGUACAUUGUCAUUGCUUGUUGUGGGGUUCACAAUUUUAUAAGGAAAAAUGCAGAAGCAGAUGUAUAUUUUGAUGGAGGUGAAGGAAAUUCUGAAGUACAGGCCACUACUUUACAAAGCACGGAUGGAACUUUGACUGAUAGUGUAGAGUUCAGUAUCUCUAUAACUCAUAUACGUGAAAUGGCUCAUGUUCGUGAUGAAAUUGCUGAUCAUAUAUGAAGAGCUAGUCAACGAUAGUGAGAUUGAGUAAAUACAUUAGUUGAUUGUUAUGACUCGUUUAAUACUUUACUUUAAGUUUAGACAAUUAUCAGUUCAUACUUUUUAUUUUACUAUGUAGACUUUAUUGAUUUUAUGUUAUCUCAUGGAUAGAUAUUAAGUUUUGAAAUUUGAGAUUACUUGGAUAUUAUUAAUAUGAUUUUUUUUUACUAUAA